rnacentral:rRNA from 2 species
GAUGAACGCCGGCGGUGUGCCUAAUACAUGCAAGUCGAGCGCACUGGCCCAACUGAUAUGACGUGCUUGCACUGAUUUGACGAUGGAUUACCAGUGAGCGGCGGACGGGUGAGUAACACGUGGGCAACCUGCCCUGGAGCGGGGGAUAACAUCUGGAAACAGGUGCUAAUACCGCAUGACUACUAAAACCACCUGGUUUUAGUAUAAAAGAAGGCUUCAGCUUUCACUUUAGGAUGGGCCCGCGGUGCAUUAGCUAGUUGGUAAGGUAACGGCUUACCAAGGCGAUGAUGCAUAGCCGAGUUGAGAGACUGAUCGGCCACAAUGGAACUGAGACACGGUCCAUACUCCUACGGGAGGCAGCAGUAGGGAAUCUUCCACAAUGGGCGCAAGCCUGAUGGAGCAACACCGCGUGAGUGAAGAAGGGUUUCGGCUCGUAAAGCUCUGUUGUUGAAGAAGAACGUGCGUGAGAGUAACUGUUCA